UACGUAGGGUGCGAGCGUUGCCCGGAUUUAUUGGGCGUAAAGAGCGUGUAGGCGGUCAGGUAGGUCCGUUGUGAAAACUCGAGGCUCAACCUCGAGACGCCGAUGGAAACCAUCUGGCUAGAGUCCGGAAGAGGAGAGUGGAAUUCCUGGUGUAGCGGUGAAAUGCGCAGAUAUCAGGAAGAACACCAAUGGCGAAAGCAGCUCUCUGGGACGGUACUGACGCUGAGACGCGAAAGCGUGGGGAGCGAACAGG
rnacentral:rRNA from 1 species